UUAACACUAUCUUGUUCUAAGGCAUCAAAUGUGUUGAGCACAAUAGCGGCCCCUCGAGGGAGAUUCUCUGCCUCGGUCAUAAGAUAGGUGAACAAGAUGUCAUUUAUGUCUGUGGUUUGAAUGAAGCUCGGGAUGUUAAUCGGGUCAACCCGAUCAGGUUUCAAGUUAAACGGGUCGGGUUAGUCGGGUAUUUUAUAAAAAUAAUUUCACCCGGAAUCCGACCCUAUUAAGGUACGGGUUAUCCGGGUUCGGGUUAUUCGGGUUUCGGGUUUAUAGGGUCGAGUUAGUCGGGUUACAAUGUAAGACAUAAAUAUUGUGCCAUAUUUAUAAUAAGGUUUAUUUUUCAGAAGGUUAAAUUAGGAUGUGUUAAAUCCAAAUAACUUUGAGUGCAUAUGGUUUAUUUUUCUUGUUUGUACUUGUAAAAAGCUUUAUGCAUUUGAUUUGAGGCUGUGUAUUUUUUAUUUUAGGCCACCUAAACUACUAUUGCAUAUUAUUUUACUAUUGCAUAUUAUUUUACCA